CUGCGCCUUAGGGUUUCCUUAAUUCAACAUCGAGGUCGUAAACCCUCCUUUUGAUUAGGGCUCUAAGAAGGAUUACGCUGUUAUCCCUAAAGUAAUUUAAUUUGCAGAUUAAGAGGUCUUAAUUUUCACUUAUGUGAGUGUUAAAAUACUUCAUAGCUUUUCCAUGUAUGUCAUCCCAACCAAACCCUAAAAAUUGUUAACUAAAGCAUAUAUAUCAGAAGGUAAAAUUUUAUAGGGUCUUAUCGUCCCCUAGGUAGACCUAGGUAUUUUCACCUAGACAUAAUUUAUAUAAAUAGCGAGGGACAAGAGUUCACACGUCACCCCUUUCAUUCUAGUUCACAAUUAAAGAACAAAUCAUUAUGCUACCUUAGUACAGCUUAAAUACUGCAGCUCUUUAUCUUCUGAGACAGGGAGCAGGGACUACCUUAAAUCUAGUCUCCUUAAGGAGAUGUUU
rnacentral:rRNA from 1 species